UCAUUACCGAGUUUACAACUCCCAAACCCCUGUGAACAUACCUAUUUGUUGCCUCGGCGGUGCCUGUUCCGACAGCCCGCCAGAGGACCCCAAACCCUGAUUACAUUUAAGAAGUCUUCUGAGUAAACCGAUUAAAUAAAUCAAAACUUUCAACAACGGAUCUCUUGGUUCUGGCAUCGAUGAAGAACGCAGCGAAAUGCGAUAAGUAAUGUGAAUUGCAGAAUUCAGUGAAUCAUCGAAUCUUUGAACGCACAUUGCGCCCGCUAGUAUUCUGGCGGGCAUGCCUGUCCGAGCGUCAUUUCAACCCUCAAGCCCCCGGGCUUGGUGUUGGGGAUCGGCGAGCCUCCGCGCCCGCCGUCCCCUAAAUCUAGUGGCGGUCUCGCUGUAGCUUCCUCUGCGUAGUAGCACACCUCGCACUGGGAAACAGCGCGGCCACGCCGUUAAACCCCCAACUUCUGAACGUUUGACCUCGGAUCAGGUAGGAAUACCCGCUGAACUUAAGCAUAUCAAUAAGCGGAGGAAAAGAAACCAACAGGGAUUGCCCUAGUAACGGCGAGUGAAGCGGCAACAGCUCAAAUUUGAAAUCUGGCCUUCGGGUCCGAGUUGUAAUUUGUAGAGGAUGCUUUUGGUGAGGUGCCUUCCGAGUUCCCUGGAACGGGACGCCAUAGAGGGUGAGAGCCCCGUCUGGUUGGACACCGAUCCUCUGUAAAGCUCCUUCGACGAGUCGAGUAGUUUGGGAAUGCUGCUCUAAAUGGGAGGUAUAUGUCUUCUAAAGCUAAAUAUUGGCCAGAGACCGAUAGCGCACAAGUAGAGUGAUCGAAAGAUGAAAAGCACUUUGAAAAGAGAGUUAAAAAGUACGUGAAAUUG
rnacentral:rRNA from 1 species